rnacentral:rRNA from 1 species
AGAGUUUGAUCCUGGCUCAGGACGAACGCUGGCGGCGUGCCUAACACAUGCAAGUCGAACGGGGCUGGGGGCAACUCCAGUUCAGUGGCGGACGGGUGCGUAACACGUGAGGAACAUGACUUUCGGUGGGGGAUAGCCGGCCCAACGGCCGGGCAAUACCGCGUACGACCUUUCGGGGACAUCCCCGGCUGGUGAAAGCAGCAAUGCGCCGAAAGAGUGCCUCGCGGCCUAUCAGCUAGUUGGUGGGGUAAUGGCCCACCAAGGCGACGACGGGUAGCUGGUCUGAGAGGAUGGCCAGCCACAUUGGGACUGAGACACGGCCCAGACUCCUACGGGAGGCAGCAGUGGGGAAUAUUGCGCAAUGGGCGAAAGCCUGACGCGGCGACGCCGCGUGUGGGAUGACGGCCUUCGGGUUGUAAACCACUGUCGGGAGGGACGAAUGCCCCGCAAGGGGAGUGACGGUACCUCCAAAGGAAGCACCGGCUAACUCCGUGCCAGCAGCCGCGGUAAUACGGAGGGUGCGAGCGUUGUCCGGAAUCACUGGGCGUAAAGGGCGCGUAGGCGGCCUGAUAAGUAGGGGGUGAAAUCCUGCGGCUUAACCGCAGGGCUGCCUUCUAAACUGUCGGGCUAGAGCACGGUAGAGGCAGAUGGAAUUCCCGGUGUAACGGUGGAAUGCGUAGAGAUCGGGAAGAACA